UACCACCAAUGGCCGGGUUAGAAGGACAAGUCGGAUCAAAGGGCAGAGCUCUGCAAAUACUUCUGAUAUUUGGGGACCCACACCACUGAUAACACCCACGUUUGAUUCACGGUUGCCAGCGACGGCGGCUCGUGUGCGAAAGAUGGGGGAGCGUGUGUUUAGCUUCACGGGAAGCCC